rnacentral:pre_miRNA from 1 species
UGAGUACUCCCUCCGUCCCAAAAAACUUGUCGAAGAAAUAGAUAAAAUUGGAUGUAUCUAUAACUAAAAUACAUCUAGAUUCAUCCAUUCCUUUGACAAGUAUUUUCGGACGGAGGGAGUACAAG